GACAUGGUCAAAAUACCAGUAAUGAGAUGUAGCGUCAAAACCAGAAGACAAGUUGAGAUGAACCUGAGAUAAAGUUGAGACAGAACAACUACCCAAGGAAACAACAGCUCCGAACUUCCAAGGUCCUGUGAUUGGACGAUUCAGCCGCCAGUCAUCAUUCCAUGAACCACUCCAGGAACCAAUCCGGUGUUAUUGGCCAGGUAUAAAGACCCGGAUGUGACAGCGCGGGAGAGGGGGCGUUGACUUACCUGGUUGUUUGCUCACCUGCGUUUGCUUAUCUGUUGUUGUUUUGCCUUGGUUUAUUCCUAAUUCUGUGUUUAGUUAUUGUGUGUUAAGUGGUUCGCUUUGUGAACUGUUCUAUACAGUUAUCGAGGUCUAUGCUGUGACUCGACUUUCACUUUAACGGUGCCUAUUCCAUUCCUUCUCCGAUACAUAGUGAUUGGGACCAGCAGGACGACAGUGAUGGACAGUGAUCCUUCUGAUCAGUGUUAAGAUGUAUCAAAAAGCCUGACAAAUUGGAUAAAGUUUCAGAAUUAGCUAAUCUAACAGAUAACAAAGGGGGAUCAAACUCCGAACUUUCGGCGUUAUCUUGUUCCACCACUGAUGAACCUCUGUCACAUGCGACCCCUACAGGACAGACAGCACGGCCUCUCUUCUCCUGGAGUGACUCCUUGUUAUCUCUGGUAUGGUAGGCUUUCAACAUAUUAAUAUGACAUACCCGUUUCUGGCGUUUUCUGUCUGGUGUACACAAUACAUAAUCUGUCUCUCCCCUCCUCUCCAAGAUCUCAUAAGGCCCCGAAAAACGUGCAGUUAAUGCAGACCCCGGAACAGGAAGUAGAAGAUGUACAUCUUACAAGCGAGAAAAUAUGAGCAAAGAAAAAAUACCUGGACACUGGCAUCUGUGUCCAGUGUUUAGUUUGCUACUUGUUCAUUAACAUUUAUGUGCUGAGUCUGGAAAGAAGUGUACAACUGUAGCAUGAGAACGUCACUGUAUAUAGAUGAUUAAAGUACUCUGUGUGCAUGACUGGAAACCUGAAACAAUUUCUCAAUUAUUAAACCAAUAAAUCAAUAAAUUCUUCAGGUCAGCAAAGUAAUCUAGCCACAGUUGCAAGCCAGUGACUUCUGUGCAGGUCCCAAGCCAGAUAACUACAGAGAGCAGUGUCAGGAAGGGCAUCCAGCGUAAAACAUGCCAAAUUGAAACAUGCAAAUUGUCAGUGUGAGUGUGGAAAAGAGGUAAAGAGUCAAGUGCAGGCGGGUUUGAAUUGGUGGAGAAAAGUGUCGGGAGUGUUAAGACAGUAGU